UUAAAAUCUGGUAACUUGAAUGUGUUAUUGGAAAACUUUCAAGUAUGGUUCAGAACAACUUGAGUAUGUGAAUCUACAUUUUCAACUCUAAAUUUUAUGAAACCUGAAUACAUAUUCAUUAUUUCUGCUGAACGUUUAUAGUUCAAAAUCAAGCUAGGCUGUGAGUGUAAAACACACAAUAGAUUUUUCAAGGCCUAGCACAAAAAAAUCGUAAAAUACUUCUUGAAAAAAAUUUUAAUAGAAAUCCCAUGUUGGAGUACUAUUUUGGAUUAAAUAAAAUACAUUGGUAAAAUUUCAUCUGUUUCUUUUUAACUUUUUUUUAAAUGUGGCUAUAAGAAAAUAUAAAAUGAUGUAUGCAGAUUAUAUAUUUCUGUUGGACAGUGCUGCUCUAGAACUCAAGGCACCCCCGUGACUGAGAUGACUUAUCUGUUAUUUGUAUAUCGAUUUGUUAGGGAAAGGGACUGAAUUACUCCCUGGAAAUGUGGCUGGAAUUCAUCUGACAUGUUAAAGAGGCCCGGUAACUCUGAUUCUCCUGGGCCAUCCAGUUUAAAUCAGACAUUGUCUUUACACUGUGAGAAAUUAAAAAAAAAAUUUUUUUUUUAACAGUUAUUCAUUUUGAGAGAACGACAGAGUGCGAGCAGGGUUAGGGUCAAAGAGAGAGGGAGACACGGAAUCCGAAGCAGGCUCCAGGAUCUGAGCUUUCAGCACAGAGCCUGACGCAAGGCUUGAACUCGUGAACUACAAGAUCAUUCAACCUGAGCCGAAGUCAGACACUUAACUGACUCAGCCACCGAGGGUCCCCUAUGCUAUGAGGAAUUUUUUUGCUGAAUCCAUGACACGAAUGAGAGACAAGAAUAUAAGCUAAGAAAUAUAUUUCACAAUGGAGGCAAAGAUGGUUAUCAGUCGAUCUCACUGUUUCCUAGGAGAAAUUUUGUUGGGAGAAUUUAGAUCUCCAUAUUCAUUGCUAUUUAGGACAGUUUGUGUUUCGGGCAGUUUUGUAGUUGGGCCUGAGAUUGAUCAGGCCUCCAGGGAAUCUCAGAAUUCUGGGUGUAAAAAGCCUUUCUUUGUUGAAAAGAAAAAGAGGCUCAGGACAUUUUUAUAAAUGCUGACAUUAAGUAACCACAAAUUAUAUGCAAAUAGAAUUCCUCCGGGCAUGCAAUAUUGACUACAGUUAAAACAACUUUGGUAAUAUCACUACCUUAAUUGGUACUUGCAAGGGUCAAACUGAGGUACUUAUGAAUAAGAACACAGCUGGGGUGAACUUCUAAAACUUUCUGCAGUAAUCAACAAAAAUUCUUCUUUUGUCCCAUCUGGCACAGAGCCCUACAUGGGGUGGGAACUGGAGGGAUAAGGGGUAAGGGGUGAGUGGCCAGGGGUAGGCUCUACUCUCUGCUUGAGUUUUUAAUACUGUCACUGGCAAAUCAGUCACGAAUGGGAAAAGCUCUGUUCUUAUGGUCUAAGUGGAAGCACAAUAAAUAUAAGCCAGAGGGAAAAUUUAGAGGAAAGGAAAUUAUCACACUUAGAAGUAGGCUAGGUGUUCCCUGACAUCACUAAUCAUCCAUUUGGCCUCCUUAUUCUUUUCAUGAAAAGAAACUGUGAAUAAGAGCGAACUAGGACUUGACCAUCAGACUGAGGGAAGAGCCACUUAUGAUGAAUGGUAGCUCUCUGCAGAAAGUGCUUUAUGUUACAAUUUUAAACUUACUUCGCUGAGGAUUUCUAGCACACAACAUACGUUUUAUCCGUGUGCUUCAGCCUUUUUUGCUCCUCAAUUCACCUGGCCCUUUGGGGGUAACAGAGGUCACUCUGGGAAAUAGAUUAUUGACUCGUACUAAAAUAUUACUACCAGAAAUGGGCAGACUGGGUCGGUUCCAGUGAGAUAAAAUUGGUGUGAAUCCUCGUCACUAGGAAGAGUUUUCACAAACACAAAAUUUAAACCAUGUUAAUGGGUUCCCCCAACGCUAACAAACAAAUGCAUUCAGCAAAGCAAUUGUUUUCUUCGAUCCACCAUACUUCUUUGCAAGCUAUGACCUUUCUUUCUUCUGGAUAAUAGGUAAGUCUACCAACAAAGGCACUGUGUAUCCUUCAGGAGUCAGAGGCCUGGAAAGGCUGGCCGGGGCAUUGGCAUUUAGCUGUAGACAAUGCAAAGUUUUGGCAGAGGAAGAAGAACUGGGAACUGAUUCUGUGGCCCCAUGUCCUGACGCUUAGCUCCUUCCGCGUGGGGUAGUUUUCAACUGUGCACAUACCUUUGUAGCCUCACUCAGGAACAGUGAGUCUGCGAACAUCUCCUGGUCUCCAAAAUGAAGUGUGUGCAACUCUGGGCAUACAAGAGGAAAAUGUGGGUUUCCUUUCUAUUUUUAUCUCAUCCCUUUUUAUCUAUUUUUUUUUUUUUUUUGCAUAUGUCUUAUACCAUACCUAACAUAGUAGUAAAGAUUUACAAGCCCUUCUCCAUGCUUAUGAUGUCCUAAAAGCUCUGAAAUCCAGAAGUUAUUUUGUAAUUCAUUUGGUGACUCAGCCUGGACCGACCUGAAUUGAUAUGUGGCUAUUUAUAGCUUUUAUUUAGCACAAUGAGUGUGAGUCAUCUGAAAAAUCAGACAUUCUCUGCUGAAGUCUUGAUGUGCUCUCUUGCGGGGCGUGCCCUAGACCCUCCAUCGGGAGCGUUGCAUAACGUAUGGUGUGUGUACUUUGUUACCUUGCCAAGAUCGCAACAGUUCAGAGUCACAGUUCGUUCUGAGGAUUUUGGAUUUUCAACUUGGGUGGAGUUGGUUCAGCAUUUGGGGCAACUGGCCAGAGAGUUAGAGGAUCUGCUUUCAAGAUGGCUUGCUCAGAUGUUUUGUGAGUUGGUACUAGCUGUCAUCUAGGAACUCAACUGGGACUGCAUGGGCUUCUCCACGUGGGCUUCCCCAUAGCCUGUUUAGAUUACCUUCCAGCAUGGUAGCUGGGUUCCAGGAGCAAGUGUCCUGACAGAAUAAGGCAGAAGUACAUUGCAUUUAACAAUUCUGGCCUUAGAAAUCACAUAGCAUCACUUCUGCCGUGCUCUUGGUCAUGACCAGUCAUGAAGGUCUGCUUAGGUUCCAGCAGUUUGCUUUGGUUCCCUUGAAGGGAGCAUCAGGGUCGGAGUGUCAAAAGGGCUUGUGGAAUGAGAGAUAUGGUCGGUCAUCUUUGGAUGAUACAAUUUGCCACAGAAAUCACUGGCUCAGUCUCUUUGUAUAACAUAUAUUGUUUUGAAUGUGAUUUAAUUUGAGAGAUAGAAGUGAAUGGAAAAUCAAAUAGGAUUCUGAUAAUUCAUCUGUAGUUAUUCUUUCAAAGAAAAUGUUUUUAAUUUAUUUUAUUUUAGAGAGAGGGAGUGCACACAAGUGGGGAAGGGGCAGAGAGAGGGAGAGAGAGACUUUUAAGCAGGCUACAUGCUUGGCACAGAGCCUGACACGGAGCUCAAUCCCAUCACCCUGGAAUCAUGACGUGAGCUGAAAUCAAGGGUCUGAUGCUCAACUAACUAAGCCACCCAGGAGCCCCUGUAGUCAUUCUUUAAAUAUGCUUAAAGUUGCAUUUUAUUUCAGAAGGAUAUAAACAAAGAUCAUUUUUAAUGAGAUAAUGAGCACGAAAGCACUUUGAAAUCUAUAAACCUGUAACGCAAGACACAAUGGGAAAUAAAAACCAUGGAUUAAAAAAUAAUAAUAACAAAUAAUAAUUAUUUAGUCAAUAUCUGACUCACCAUUCUUUGAAAAUCAGUUAAGUUCUGAUGAAAAGGGGCCUCCUUGUUUCAGAAAAUUCUGCCUAUUUGGUCAGUUUUCAUUGCUGCUGUUGGAUAUUGUUUCAGUAGAAACAGUGUCAUUUGCUGGGUAAUCAUGUUCGAUGUUUGCUGAAAGCUGAGGUUGUUGUGUUGUGGAAUUAUGUAUAUGGGAACCUUUAAGUCUUUCCUUCAUUCAGUGACUACUUGAAGAUUUUUUCUUAGAGUUACUUUCACUGUACACAAUUAUGCAAGUAUACACUUCAUUUAACGGAAGUAAGACAUUUCUCUGGCAUCUUUUCUUUUGAACUAUGGAAUAGGGUUCCUUUGUUUAGUUGGUAAUCAUGGAAAGAAUUAGGAGGUAGAGGCAAUUUUUAGAAGCUAUUGGAAGGUUUAUCUUGCUCUUGGUGCAUAAUUAAUCCAUAAGUGGAAUUUAGAAUGUUUGGUAUAAAUUGUUCAAUAGAACAUAGCGAUGUCUGUCCAAAAAAGAACAUAUUUAGCCAUUUAUUAAUGUAUUUUUAACAACA